AUUGAACGCUGGCGGCAGGCCUAACACAUGCAAGUCGAACGAGUGGCGGACGGGUGAGUAAUGCCUGGGAAACUGCCUGAUGGAGGGGGAUAACUACUGGAAACGGAAGCUAAUACCGCAUACCAUCGGAUGUGCCGAGAUGGGAUUAGCUAGUUGGUGGGGUAACGGCCCACCUAGGCGACGAUCCCUAGCUGGUCUGAGAGGAUGACCAGCCACACUGGAACUGAGACACGGUCCAGACUCCUACGGGAGGCAGCAGUGGGGAAUAUUGCACAAUGGGCGCAAGCCUGAUGCAGCCAUGCCGCGUGGGUGAAGAAGGCCUUCGGGUUGUAAAGCACUUUCAGCGGGGAAGCGUUACCCGCAGAAGAAGCACCGGCUAACUCCGUGCCAGCAGCCGCGGUAAUUC
rnacentral:rRNA from 1 species